rnacentral:rRNA from 1 species
GAUGAACGCUGGCGGCGUGCUUAACACAUGCAAGUCGAACGGAAAGGCCCAAGCUUGCUUGGGUACUCGAGUGGCGAACGGGUGAGUAACACGUGGGUGAUCUGCCCUGCACUUCGGGAUAAGCCUGGGAAACUGGGUCUAAUACCGGAUAGGACGAUGGUUUGGAUGCCAUUGUGGAAAGUUUUUUCGGUGUGGGAUGAGCUCGCGGCCUAUCAGCUUGUUGGUGGGGUAAUGGCCUACCAAGGCGUCGACGGGUAGCCGGCCGGAGAGGGUGUACGGCCACAUUGGGACUGAGAUACGGCCCAGACUCCUACGGGAGGCAGCAGUGGGGAAUAUUGCACAAUGGGCGCAAGCCUGAUGCAGCGACGCCGCGUGGGGGAUGACGGCCUUCGGGUUGUAAACUCCUUUCGCUAGGGACGAAGCGUUUUUGUGACGGUACCUGGAGAAGAAGCACCGGCUAACUACGUG